GCCCUGAAAAUGAAUAGGGCCAUAGAUACUGUAUGUCUAUUCCAGCUGUCCCAGUUUUGUUAUCUUCCUUAAAUAUAUCAAAUAGCAUUACUGUACUUGCACAAUGCAUUUAACUUUUCCACACUCAUUUCAUUGUGAAUUGCAUUCCUUAAACCAUACGUUGUUGUUGCACUCAGAGCCACGAGAGGCUGAGGAUCCUGGGCCUGUAUCACUGGAUGAUGGUAUUAAGUCUCUGGGGAGCUAGCACUUAGGUUGGAGUCUGAUGAUCUGGUGGAACCGACCCUCAGAAAUACUCCCCUUGGAAGCUGGUUUCCGAUGGUGGCUUAGAGUGCGGUCCUCCAUCUAGCACCAUUUGAAAUCAGUGGCGCAGUUGCAGUCGCAGUGACUCAGUAGCAGUGACUUAUGAUGUGUUCCAGAUGCCUCUUACACCACCCGCACGAGUUGCUCUUGUGGCGUAAUUUCCUGGCUUGUAACACUUAUAGCCUUCCUGUUUGUCUUUGCGAUUGCGUCAUGUCAUUGGCUAGUCAUUGUUAGUCACAUUAGCCUCUCUAGCAAACCAGCUAGAAGAAAAACACAACUUUACAUUGUAUUUCACGCACAGCAAGACCGUGCAAUGCAUAAAUUGAUGACCGGAAUAACGAAGAAAUUUAAUCAAGUGUGUAAGAGCAUUUAAAAUCGACAUUAAAAUGACCAACGUGGUACGAAUACAAAGAAAAUAAAUCCAAUUUUUGGACCAGCCAUUUUUGUUGUCGAGUUGUACGGUCAACCUCACUGAACUCUGUAUAGGCCUACUCUCAGAAUCGACCAAAACUUCUGGUCGGUCCCAGGUGAAAUGCCGCAAGAAAGCUGGGAGAUUACCCCAUUUGCAACUCGUUCGGCUGGUGUACGAGGCAUCUGGAACACACCAUCAGUUAGCGUGAGGCAGUUAGCCAUGACUUAGUUAGCCAUGGCACAGUAGCAGUGACUCAGUUAGCAGUCAUUCAGCUAGCCAUGGCACAGUAGCAGUGACUCAGUAGCAUUGACUCAGUAGCAGUGACUCAGUAGCAGUGACGCAUUGAGCAGUAACGCAGUUACCAUUGACGCAGUAGCAUUGACUCAGUAGCAGUGACGCAGUUAGCAUUGAGCAGUAGCAGUGAUACAGUAGCAGUGACGCAGUUACCAUUGACGCAGUAGCAUUGACUCAGUAGCAGUGAUGCAGUUAUCAUUGACCGGUAGCAGUGACUCAAUAGCAGUGACGCAGUUAACAUUGACACAGUAGCAGUGACGCAGUUGGCAUUGACGCAGUAGCAGUGACGCAGUUGGCAUUGACACAGUAGCAGUGACACAGUUAGCAGUGCAAGCUUAAGGUCCUCUUUUCCAAGGUUGACUGAUUUCUUUCGGUGUUCAGAGUCUUCUUGUGUUUCUAGCACCAUUUGAAAUCGGUUACAAUGAAGGAUACCUCAUCGGGAGGGUGAGCUCCUCUGCGGCGGGCCCGUGGGCAGACUGGGGUUGGGCAGAAGGGUUUAAAAAGGGGCCUUAGUUCUAAGAUUACUAGUUCUCUUCAAUUGAACUAGCAGGUCUUUAAUGCAACUGAAUGUAUUGGGCUAAUGGCCAAGAAGCAUUCAUCUGAAAUCUUUUAUUUUUAAGCGUUAUACAGGAAUGUAAUGUUUGGUAUUCAUACGUGAUGAAUGAAAAUUAAAUGCUGAAUGGAUGUAAAAAUUGUAAUCCAUUUGUUGACCGAUAUUAAAGACUCAGAAUCACUAACUACAUUUCAUACUCAAACAGAGAGUACAGUAACACAGAACGUGGACGGAAGUACUUUAAUCAUUUUUAUAAUUUCAAGCUCAUGUUCAUAUCAAAUGGUUGUCAAGGCACAAUGAAAUACAAUGCUAAUAAAUUAUGGAUAUUA